rnacentral:RNase_P_RNA from 1 species
UAAGUAGAAUAAAUAAUCGCGGCCGCAUUUCUAAAGAAUGCGGGUGAGGAAAGUCCGGGCUUCACAGGGCAGGAUGCCGGAUAACGUCCGGUGGAGGCGACUCCAAGGCUAGUGCAACAGAAAUAAACCGCCGCAGUUCGACCCAUGCCGUUUUGUGGGAAGAAUCCCAAAGGGAUUCUUCCACAGUUCGGCUCAUGCCGAACUGUUGGUAAGGGUGGAAAGGCAGUGUAAGAGACUACCGUCCGUCUGGUA